rnacentral:rRNA from 1 species
AGCUAUGUGUAUUAAUACAUAGUUAUUUCUGCUCCAUGCUUAGUAAAUAGCCGCAGUACUCUGACUGUGCAAAGGUAGCAUAAUCAGUUGGCUUUUAAUUAGAGUCUAGUAUGAAUGAAAAUAUGGGUGGUAACUGUCUUAGCAUAUUAUUUGAACUUACUAAACAAGUGCAAAUACUUGUAAAUAAAUAAUAGACGAGAAGACCCUAGAAACUUGAAUAAGUUUUUGUUGGGGCGACAAAAUUACAGUUAACUAAUUUUAUAAUACAUGCCGCAAAGUCGAAAGAAUAAGUUACUCUAGGGAUAACAGCAUAAUUUUUAUAGUUUGUGACCUCGAUGUUGGACUAGGUACUACACCCUUUAGACAAGGGUGUAUUAUGCUCUGUUCGAGCAGAUUUACCUACAU